rnacentral:lncRNA from 1 species
CUCGGCUAAUAUUCUAAAACUAUAACACCUGUAUUCCUUAAUUUCCGAAUUAAGUAGUAUUUUUUUUAUUGAGAGUAAUGACUUAUUGCUCCGGAUUCACAAUAAUAUGUCCGAGUAGGACGUCAUGUCUAAUUACAUAAAAUUGAGAUCGAAAUAGGGAAUAUAUGUAAAAGAGACAACACUCCAGCCAGAGAGCAGACAACAGACUGACACUUUGUGAACUAGCAAGACUUGAAUCCUGGUGAACAUUUCAGACUAGUAAAAAGCCGGGUUGAUAUGGUAUUAUCGUGUUUUGUCGUAAGGAAAC